GGUGUUGUAGCUCAGUGGCAGAGCACUUGACUUGCACAUGUGAGGCACUGAGUUCAAUCCUCAGCACCACAU
rnacentral:tRNA from 1 species